rnacentral:rRNA from 1 species
ACGCUGGCGGCAGGCCUAACACAUGCAAGUCGAGCGGUAGAGAGAAGCUUGCUUCUCUUGAGAGCGGCGGACGGGUGAGUAAUGCCUAGGAAUCUGCCUGGUAGUGGGGGAUAACGUCCGGAAACGGACGCUAAUACCGCAUACGUCCUACGGGAGAAAGCAGGGGACCUUCGGGCCUUGCGCUAUCAGAUGAGCCUAGGUCGGAUUAGCUAGUUGGUGGGGUAAUGGCUCACCAAGGCGACGAUCCGUAACUGGUCUGAGAGGAUGAUCAGUCACACUGGAACUGAGACACGGUCCAGACUCCUACGGGAGGCAGCAGUGGGGAAUAUUGGACAAUGGGCGAAAGCCUGAUCCAGCCCAUGCCGCGUGUGUGAAGAAGGUCUUCGGAUUGUAAAGCACUUUAAGGUUGGGAGGAAGGGCAGUAAAUUAAUACUUCGCUGUUUUGACGUUACCGACAGAAUAAGCACCGGCUAACUCUGUGCCAGCAGCCGCGGUAAUACAGAGGGUGCAAGCGUUAAUCGGAAUUACUGGGCGUAAAGCGCGCGUAGGUGGUUCGUUAAGUUGGAUGUGAAAUCCCCGGGCUCAACCUGGGAACUGCAUUCAAAACUGACGAGCUAGAGUAUGGUAGAGGGUGGUGGAAUUUCCUGUGUAGCGGUGAAAUGCGUAGAUAUAGGAAGGAACACCAGUGGCGAAGGCGACCACCUGGACUGAUACUGACACUGAGGUGCGAAAGCGUGGGGAGCAAAC